AUGGAUUGGACGCCUCAGCCUGACCUUUCCAUUCCCCCAUCCCCAUCUCCCCUUGUUCCCGCAGGGCUCCGGGCGGCCGUGACCCUGCUGGAGUCCGGGGGGACCUCCAGCCCCCCGGGGGGUCCCUGCGCCUCCUCUGCCGAGGCUCCGGGUUCAGUUUCGGCAGUUUUGGGAUGGGCUGGAUGCGCCAGAGACCCGGGCAGGCGCUGGAAUACGUCGCCAGUAUCAACAAAAACGGCGGCUGGGGCGGCUCCGCGCCGUCGUUGAAGGGCCGGGUGACGAUCUCCAGGGACAACGGGCAGAGCUCGGUGACGCUGACCAUGAACAGCCUCAAGGACGAGGAUUCCGGAUCCUAUUUCUGUGCCAAAGCUUCUUGCUCCG